GCCAAACUGGAUGAGGGAAGGGGGCGGCGGGUCUCACCUCCCAGCCACCCGCCAAUUUUCAUUCCCCAUGCCAUCGCCCCCAAUCCUGUCACCCCACCUCUCCCCAGGCCUCGGCUUAAAAGAAUUUCCCUUUACAUUCCUCCUGGAUCUCAUUCUCUCUGGAUGUAACCCCCACUCUGAAGUUGGCCUGUGUCCUUCCUGUCCAUGCUUUCAUACUUCUACUACCUUGACAUGCUGCAAUGAACAUCUUUGCACCUUGCUCCUGAUCUCCCAUGCAAUCAGUUCUCUCUGCAAUGUGUCUAGAAACACAAGUUCUAAGCAUGAUAUCUUCUUGCCUGCUCCUCCAGGGGUGAGAGGUGACUCAUUGCUAAUGGUGGCUGAUCUUUGAAUUGAAUCUCCAGUGGACAUUUUUAGAUGUUUUGCAGUUUCUCCUUUUGCACAGACCAGCGCAGAUAGGCUCCCACCCCGCGUGCCGUUGGUUUUCUGUAAGUAUUUAUAGUGCCAUCAGAAUAAAUGCCCUUGACCAGCCUCCUUUUCACCUCCCUCCCAAUCCAGUCUCCUUCCUCACUGCAUUCUCUUUUUUAAAAUAUUUUAUUUAUUUAUUUAUUCAUGAGAGACACAGAGACAGGCAAAGGGAGAAGCAGGCUUCCUGUGAGGAGCCUGAUGUAGGACUCGAUCCCAGGAACCCAGGAUCAGGACCUGAGCCAAAGGUAGACACUCAACCACUGAGCCACUCAGAGUCCCCUCCCCACUGCAUUCUUAAGCUGCCCAUUCUAAGUGGAGUCAACAGAGCAAGGCUGGCUCCAUUGGUGAGUGACUGUUAAGGAAUGUCACUGAGGAAAAGUAACCACUGAUUGACCCAUCAGCUGGACCAUCUGAGCCACCCAGGCACCUCAAUAAAAAAAAUUCUUAAAAAAAAAAAGAAUUGAAAACAGUGACUGAAACAAAUUUUUGUACACCCAUCUUCACUGCAGCAUUAUUUACAACAGCUAAAAGAUAGAAACAAACCAUGUGUCCAUCGCAGAUGAAUGGAUAAACAAAAUCCACACAGUGGAAUGUUAUUCAGCCUUAAAAGGAAGAAAAUUCUGACAUGUGCUAUAGCAUGGAUGUACCUUGAGGACGUUGUGCGAAGUGAAAUAAACCAGCUACAAAGGGGCAAAUAUUGUAUGACUCCACUUAUAUGAGGUUCCUGGAGGAGACACAUCCAUAGAGAGAGAAAGUAGGAUGGUCAGUGCCAGGGGCUGGGGGGAAGAAGAUGGGGAGUUGUUGUUUGAUGGGAACAGAGCUUCUGUCUGGGAAGGUGAAAAAGUUCUGUUGAAUGUACAGUGGUGAUGGUUGCCCAACAAUGUGAAUGUACU